rnacentral:misc_RNA from 1 species
AACUAGGACCAAAACCCAGUAGACUUGGAUUACCAAUAGCCCCAAUACGAGCAGGUCAAAUUUAAGGCACCCCCCCUCAUGGCAGAAAAGACACUCUAACAGGUGACUAAAAUCUUACAAGCAAAACUUGAAUAUAACAAAAUAUAAAAACAACAAAUAUCUCAUCAAUGAGUACUGAAGACCAAAAUCCAUAAACUACCAAAAAAACUCAUAUGUAAGGAAUUUUAUGGCUUUUCAUGUUUAAGAAUGCCACAAUUAAUUCAACAAUGCUCAGACCACAGAUUAAUUUUGCAAAUCCACAAUAAAAGUAAGCAUCAAAAAGAUUAAAAGCACAGUUCUUCAGAAAGAUCACCCAAUUUCAUUAAUUAGA